UACGUAGGGUGCGAGCGUUAAUCGGAAUUACUGGGCGUAAAGCGUGCGCAGGCGGUUUGCUAAGACCGACGUGAAAUCCCCGGGCUUAACCUGGGAACUGCAUUGGUGACUGGCAAGCUAGAGUGUGGCAGAGGGGGGUAGAAUUCCACGUGUAGCAGUGAAAUGCGUAGAGAUGUGGAGGAAUACCGAUGGCGAAGGCAGCCCCCUGGGCCAACACUGACGCUCAUGCACGAAAGCGUGGGGAGCAAACAGG
rnacentral:rRNA from 1 species